CCUACGGGAGGCAGCAGUGGGGAAUUUUGGACAAUGGGCGCAAGCCUGAUCCAGCAAUGCCGCGUGAGUGAAGAAGGCCUUCGGGUUGUAAAGCUCUUUUGUCAGGGAAGAAACGGUGGAGGCUAAUAUCCUUUGCUAAUGACGGUACCUGAAGAAUAAGCACCGGCUAACUACGUGCCAGCAGCCGCGGUAAUACGUAGGGUGCAAGCGUUAAUCGGAAUUACUGGGCGUAAAGCGUGCGCAGGCGGUUUUGUAAGUUUGUCGUGAAAUCCCCGGGCUCAACCUGGGAAUGGCGAUGAAGACUGCAAGGCUAGAAUCUGGCAGAGGGGGGUAGAAUUCCACGUGUAGCAGUGAAAUGCGUAGAGAUGUGGAGGAACACCGAUGGCGAAGGCAGCCCCCUGGGUCAAGAUUGACGCUCAUGCACGAAAGCGUGGGGAGCAAACAGGAUUAGAUACCCUGGUAGUCCACGCCCUAAACGAUGUCUACUAGUUGUCGGGUUUUAAUUAACUUGGUAACGCAGCUAACGCGUGAAGUAGACCGCCUGGGGAGUACGGUCGCAAGNUUAAAACUCAAAUGAAUUGACGGCUGAGAGNGCGAGACGACGACGAGGGAGGAGG
rnacentral:rRNA from 1 species